rnacentral:rRNA from 1 species
UACAGAGGCCCCAAGCGUUACUGAGAAUCACUGGGUUUAAAGGGUGCGUAGGUGGUCCGUUAAGUCUGUUGUGAAAGCCCUUGGCUCAACCAAGGAAUUGCUUCGGAUACUGGCGGACUUGAGGCUAGUAGAGGUCACUGGAACUGACGGUGGAGCGGUGAAAUGCGUAGAUAUCGUCAGGAACGCCGGUGGUGAAGACGGGUGACUGGGCUAGUUCUGACACUGAGGCACGGAAAGCGUGGGGAGCGAACGGGG